AUGUGUAUGGUGUAAUAAACACAAAAGCUUUUCAUGCUUUAAUUAUAUUCUUUUAUAUUACACAUU
rnacentral:tRNA from 1 species